AGCAGCCGCGGUAAUUCCAGCUCCAAUAGCGUAUAUUAAAGUUGUUGCAGUUAAAAAGCUCGUAGUUGAACUUCGGGGUUUACCCAUUGGUCAGGCUUAAUUGUCUGCACUGGUGAGAUGAAUCUCUACCUUCUGAGGAACUUUCAUGCCAUUUAUUUGGUGUGAUGGGAAAUCAGGACUAGUUACUUUGAAAAAAUUAGAGUGUUUAAAGCAGGCUAACGUCUGAAUACAUUAGCAUGGAAUAAUGAAAUAGGACGGACUGAUUCUAUUUCGUUGGUUUCUAGGAUCACCGUAAUGAUUAAUAGGGAUAGUUGGGGGCAUUAGUAUUCAAUUGUCAGAGGUGAAAUUCUUGGAUUUAUUG
rnacentral:rRNA from 1 species